GGGCCGGUAGCUCAGCCUGGAAGAGCGUCUGCCUUGCACGCAGGAGGUCGCGGGUUCAAAUCCCGCCCGGUCCA
rnacentral:tRNA from 1 species